rnacentral:tRNA from 1 species
GCUCAGCUGGUUAGAGCGCACGCCUGAUAAGCGUGAGGUCGAUGGUUCGAGUCCAUUUAGGCCCA